rnacentral:rRNA from 1 species
GAAGCGGCAAGUGACGGUACCUCCAGAAGAAGCACCCGCCCAAUUACGUGCCAGCAGCCGCGGUAAUACGUAGGGUGCGAGCGUUGUCCCGGAUUUACUGGGCGUAAAGAGCUCGUAGGCGGUUUGUCACGUCGUCUGUGAAAUCCCGAGGCUUAACCUCGGGACUGCAGGCGAUACGGGCAGACUUGAGUACUGCAGGGGAGACUGGAAUUCCUGGUGUAGCGGUGGAAUGCGCAGAUAUCAGGAGGAACACCGGUGGCGAAGGCGGGUCUCUGGGCAGUAACUGACGCUGAGGAGCGAAAGCGUGGGUAGCGAACAGGAUUAGAUACCCUGGUAGUCCACGCCGUAAACGGUGGGUACUAGGUGUGGGUCCCUUCCACGGGAUCCGUGCCGUAGCUAACGCAUUAAGUACCCCGCCUGGGGAGUACGGCCGCAAGGCUAAAACUCAAAGGAAUUGACGGGGGCCCGCACAAGCGGCGGAGCAUGUGGAUUAAUUCGAUGCAACGCGAAGAACCUUACCUGGGUUUGACAUAUAGAGGAUCGCCGGAGAGAUUCGGUUUGCCUUGUGCCUUCUAUACAGGUGGUGCAUGGCUGUCGUCAGCUCGUGUCGUGAGAUGUUGGGUUAAGUCCCGCAACGAGCGCAACCCUUGUCUCAUGUUGCCAGCACGUAAUGGUGGGGACUCGUGAGAGACUGCCGGGGUCAACUCGGAGGAAGGUGGGGAUGACGUCAAGUCAUCAUGCCCCUUAUGUCCAGGGCUUCACACAUGCUACAAUGGCGCGUACAGAGGGCUGCGAUACCGCGAGGUGGAGCGAAUCCCUUAAAGCGCGUCUCAGUUCGGAUUGGGGUCUGCAACUCGACCCCAUGAAGUCGGAGUCGCUAGUAAUCGCAGAUCAGCAACGCUGCGGUGAAUACGUUCCCGGGCCUUGUACACACCGCCCGUCACGUCAUGAAAGUCGGUAACACCCGAAGCCGGUGGCCUAACCCCUUGUGGGAGGGAGCUUUCCGAA